UUAGAGUGUUCAAAGCAGGCAGACCAUUUCUUCUGCCACCGAAUACAUUAGCAUGGGAUAAUGGAAUAGGACCCUGUCCUCCUAUUUUGCGUGUUGGUUUUCGAGGACCGGGUAAUGAUUAAUAGGGAUAGUUGGGGGCAUUAAUAUUUAAUUGUCAGAGGUGAAAUUCUUGGAUUUAUGAAAGAUUGACUUCUGCGAAAGCAUCUGCCAAGGAUGUUUUCAUUAAUCAAGAACGAAAGUUAGGGGAUCGAAGACGAUCAGAUACCGUCGUAGUCUUAACCAUAAACGAUGCCGACCAGCGAUUAGGAGACGUUGAAUACAAAACACCACCGUCGGGUCGGCCGUCCUUGGCCGUCGUGCGCGGCGACGCGCGCGGCGGCGAGGGCGGUGUCUGCCCGACGGCCCGGUGAAUGACUCCCCUAGCAGCUUGUGAGAA
rnacentral:rRNA from 1 species